AGCAAUAUGGCGCAGUGGAAGCGCGCCGGGCUCAUAACCCGGAGGUCUCACGAUCGAAACGUGAUAUUGCUA